GCAACUCUGGAGAGUCUCAGAAAUGAGCGCCGAAGGUGUACGGCGGGGCGGCGCCCCGUUAAUCUCUCAGGCAAAAGGACAGAGCAG
rnacentral:ncRNA from 1 species